rnacentral:rRNA from 1 species
ACCCAGCCGUGGAUGCCAUACGAGUGAGAAUGCAGGCAUGAGUAGCGAAUGACGGGUGAGAAACCCGUCCGCCGGAUGACCAAGGGUUCCUGGGGCAGGCUAAUCCGCCCAGGGUGAGUCGGGACCUAAGGCGAGGCCGACAGGCGUAGUCGAUGGAUAACGGGUUGAUAUUCCCGUACCGGCGUUGACGCGGCCAUGCUGAACCUGGUUUGUGCUAACCAUCUGAUCGGAUGUGUCUCUUCGGAGGUGUGUUCGGGAGGGUGGGAUCCCGGCUGGUAGUAGGCAAGCGAUGGGGUGACGCAGGAAGGUAGUCCAGCCCAGGCGGUGGUUGUCCUGGGGCAAGGGUGUAGGACGAGGCGUAGGUAAAUCCGCGUCUUGUGUGUCUGAGACCUGAUGCCGAGCCGAUUGCGGCGAAGUGGGUGAUCCUAUGCUGCCGAGAAAAGCCUCUAGCGAGUGUCAGGGCCGCCCGUACCCUAAACCGACACAGGUGGUCAGGUAGAGAAUACCGAGGCGUUCGAGUGAACUGUGGUUAAGGAACUCGGCAAAAUGCCCCCGUAACUUCGGGAGAAGGGGGGCCGUUCUCCGUGUAGGGGUUUACCUCCGAAGCGGGGAGUGGCCGCAGAGACCAGGGGAAAGCGACUGUUUACUAAAAACACAGCUCCGUGCUAAGUCGUAAGACGAUGUAUACGGAGUGACGCCUGCCCGGUGCUGGAACGUUAAGGGGACGGGUUAGCUCUUCGGGGCGAAGCUCAGAACUUAAGCGCCAGUAAACGGCGGUGGUAACUAUAACCAUCCUAAGGUAGCGAAAUUCCUUGUCGGGUAAGUUCCGACCUGCACGAAUGGCGUAACGACUUUCCCACUGUCUCAACCACAGACUCGGCGAAAUUGCAUUACGAGUAAAGAUGCUCGUUACGCGCGGCAGGACGGAAAGACCCCGGGACCUUUACUAUAGCUUGAUAUUGGUGUUCGGUUCGGCUUGUGUAGGAUAGGUGGGAGACUGUGAAGCU